rnacentral:rRNA from 1 species
GACGAACGCUGGCGGCGUGCCUAAUACAUGCAAGUAGAACGCUGAGGGAGGAGCUUGCUUCUCCGGAUGAGUUGCGAACGGGUGAGUAACGCGUAGGUAACCUGCCUGGUAGCGGGGGAUAACUAUUGGAAACGAUAGCUAAUACCGCAUAAGAGUAGAUGUUGCAUGACAUUUGCUUAAAAGGUGCAAUUGCAUCACUACCAGAUGGACCUGCGUUGUAUUAGCUAGUUGGUGGGGUAACGGCUUACCAAGGCGACGAUACAUAGCCGACCUGAGAGGGUGAUCGGCCACACUGGGACUGAGACACGGCCCAGACUCCUACGGGAGGCAGCAGUAGGGAAUCUUCGGCAAUGGACGGAAGUCUGACCGAGCAACGCCGCGUGAGUGAAGAAGGUUUUCGGAUCGUAAAGCUCGGUUGUAAGAGAAGAACGAGUGUGAGAGUGGAAAGUUCACACUGUGACGGUAUCUUACCAGAAAGGGACGGCUAACUACGUG